GGGUUUAUAGUUAAAUACUAACACCUAACUUGCACUUAGAAAACGUCUUUAUUAAGACUAAACCUA
rnacentral:tRNA from 1 species